rnacentral:tRNA from 1 species
UCCCUGGUUGUCCAGUGGUUAGGACUCUGUGCUUCCACUUCAAGGGGCACAGGUUCAAUCCCUGGUUGGGGAA